CUUGCCAGGAAACUACGAGCCCUGCUUAAAACCCAAAGGACUUGGCGGUGCUUUAGACCCCCCUAGAGGAGCCUGUUCUAGAACCGAUAACCCCCGUUAAACCUCACCCUCCCUUGCUUUUCCCGCCUAUAUACCACCGUCGUCAGCCCACCCUAUGAGGGACAAACAGUGGGCACAAAUGGCACAGCCCAAAACGUCAGGUCGAGGUGUAGCGCAUGAGAGGGGAAGAAAUGGGCUACAUUUACUGAAACAGUAAACACGGACAAUGCUUUGAAACAAGUUAAUGAAGGAGGAUUUAGCAGUAAGAAGGGACUAGAGCGCCCAACUGAAACUGGCCCUAAAGCGCGCACACACCGCCCGUCACUCUCUCCAACAAUUUUGUAAAAUUAAAUAAAAUAAAGAGACAUCAAAGGAGAGGCAAGUCGUAACAUGGUAAGUGUAUUGGAAGAUGCACUUGGACAAAU
rnacentral:rRNA from 1 species